rnacentral:rRNA from 1 species
UGGUGGUGUGAAUUGUCUGGUUAAUUCCGUUAACGAGCGAGACCUUAACUUGCUAAAUAGUUACAUUAACCGUCUGAUAUGGCGUGAAACCGGGGGUGCGUCUGAUCCUCACGGAGAUGGCUACGCCAGGCGGAUCGUCUGAUGUGUUGGUGGGAAACUUCUUAGAGGGACAACUCGUGUUUAGCGAGUGGAAGCUUGAGGCGAUAACA